rnacentral:lncRNA from 1 species
GAAGGUGGUCAGUCAUCACAUAAUCUCAAGAAGUUCAUUAGUUGGGCGAAUUAUUAAUUUUUUUUUAUAAAGUAUUUUUCAUUGUUUAGAAUAAGUGGUGUUCUUUGUUCCAAAUUUGUUUAGACCAUGCUAAAUUCAAAUUUGUUUAACAAUAUGAGGACUCAAUGAACGAUCUUAAGGACAUAAUGUGGCUUGUCAUAGUAUUCAAAUUUGUUUUGGUAUGUAUUAUGAUUUGUAGUAUGAUUAAUCAAUAAUCGCUCAUAAUAAAAUUGGGUAAUGAUAUUGUUACUUUCGGCCAAAAAAACUAUUCUAUUUAUCUCAUGGGUGGUUCAAU